CCCCACCAAACUCUUCGUGAACCUCACCCCACCCCUCGGUCGAACUCCUCUUCCCCACGAUCUCGUCGCCGCCACCACCACCCACGCUGGGACGAGACCGAGGUGGCCAGGCCGCGUCCCAGUCCCGGUCCCUGUACGUGCUGCACCAGUCCACUCACCAGACUCCGCCCGCUCGCCGCUCGUUCCCAAUGCCUGCUCGCCACUCCCGCCGAUCUGCACCGGAGCAGGAAGGGGCAGCAUACCGCCGGACGCCCUGCGCCGCUCCGCAGGCCGGCGCUCGCCUCCGCCGCCACCCGAGGCCUAUGCCGCACCCUCGCCGUCUCCGCCCAGUCGGCCAGCCUCGACGCAGGAGUUGGACCAUGAUCUCGUCGCCCCUCUCCCCCGAUUUCUGAUUCAUUCGCGGCCUCGCGGAUCAAAUCUGGCCGACUGACUGGCUGACGGACUGAUUUCUUGUCGUCACGAUGGAUGUUGCUUUGCAGGUGGCCAGGGUCUCCGCCUUCGGCGGCGUCGUCUACGGCUCCGUCAAGCUCGGCAUCCUCAAGACUUUGUGAAGCCACAGGAGCUAGGGGUUGCACCGCAGGAGCAAUAGCAUGUACAAGUACUGAACAUUGAAGAUUGCAUUGCAGCUCAUCAGUAGAAGAUAGCGACAGAGUUGGAAGGUUUGUGCGGAGAUCUUACCUCGAGGUUAUCACAUAUGCGCACAAUAUGACACGGAAUUGGCCUAAAAUAGGGAGCUACAAGAUAAACUUUUAAAGGUUUACCUCACUGUUUGCUUCAACGAAGAGAUUUGAAGAGUUGCAAAAGGUAAUUUUGGGGAAAAUUUCCGUUGCUGCAAGAUAAUGAGAUGUUGAAGCGGCAGACUGAAUCCAUGACACCGAAGUGCAAUUGCGGAAGAUUAUCUUUAUCUUUCCUUUUCCUUUUUCUUAUUAUUGAGUGAGAACGGAUAGAAUGAGGAAAUGUGUGAUAGUAGAUACAACAUCUGUAGUAAAAAGAAACUUAUGUUUGCAAUUGUU